rnacentral:tRNA from 1 species
UAGUCUGCAGCUCAGUUGGUUAGAGCGCUGCACUGGAAUCACAGGGCCAUAGGUUCAAUUCCUACCAGAGAAC